ensembl:lncRNA
CUGUGUUCACUAGAACAGCAACAAGCAGAGGACAGCAUCUUACAUCCUUCCCCACAAAAGAUGGCUGGCCUGGGCUGGAUGGCUGUGGUGCUGGCCUUCUUCCUGUCUCCUCCAAACAGUUUGGCUGCUGUGGACCAGACGUGGCUCACCAGUAUUGUAGAAGGCAUCAAAAAUGAGUAUGCACUUGGUGACGCCUUCAGUCUGGCUGUGAACAUCCCACAGAAUCAAGACCCAAACACUCUCAAGCAAGUCCUUCAAGCCGACCCAGCGGACAAAGUGAAAGAAACUGUUGCAAACAGUCAAGUGUACCAAGGCACCAGGGUGGUUGCAGCCACGCAGGCAGAUGCAGUGUCACGUGUUCUUGAGAACCUACAGCCGCUUAUACAAAGCAGUCAGGAUAAUGUCCUCAUAAUCUACUCUGAAGGAUCCCCAGAUGCAAAUGGUAUUGCUACCAAGAUUAAUGAUGUCACUCAGAAAUGGAGCAGUUAUGUCUUUGCCUUUUCUAAAGUAGUUGAUGUUCCUGAUGCUGACACAUCUCAGCUGGCUCAAUCCUUUAAACAACUUGACAUUUCCAAACUCGGGCUUGACAACAUAUUCCGUUGUUAUAAACCUGGAGAUGAUGCUUUUCAGUGCACCAGCUGCUCCUCAGGUGGAGAUGUUACACCCUCAUGUGUGACAAAUACAUCUCCAUCAACUCAAGAGCAAGAUGCAGGUGCAGAAACAAGUACAUCUGCACCAGGCACUGGAGUAGACACCGCAGUAGCCACUGGUGAAGGCAAUGCUGAAGGCACUGGUACAGGUGCUGGUGUAGGCACUGGUGAAGGCACUGGUACAGGUGCUGGUGUAGGCACUGGUGAAGGCACUGGUACAGGUGCUGGUGUAGGCACUGGUGAAGGCACUGGUGCUGGUGCUGGCAUAGGCACUGCUAUAAGCGCUGGCAGACAAAGACGAAAGGGGAAAGCUGGCCGACUUAGGAAGUGCAGAGGCCGUCGUAGACGAGGAUGCAAGCGUAGACGAGGUAGUAGAUGGAGAAAAGGUGGUAAGGUUAGAAAAUGGCCCAAGCGAAAGAGAGGGCGCAAGGGAAGAAAACGCGGUAAGCUUCGUAGAGGUCGUAAAGGUAGAAAAAGGGGCAAACGUAGAAGAGGUGGCAAACGUAAAAGAGGAGGCAAACGUAGAAGAGGUGGCAGGCGUAGAAAAGGAGGCAAACGUAGAAGAGGUGGGAAGCGUAGAAGAGGUGGCUGGCGUAGAGGCAGACGUAGGCAGUAGAAAACAGCAACAACUGUAAGUACCUCUAAGUCGGAGUAACAGCCCAAAUAAAUCUCUGCUUCAUAAAAGUGCAUUUAUUUCUUUUUUCUCUUCUCUGUUUCUCCGUCUUUUUAAUGAUAGUUGUCCAUUUUACUUUUUAACCAAUCAAAACCAUCCAUCCAUCAGACAGACAACCAAGCACAUUCACAUUCACACCUACGACCAAUUUAGAAUCACUAAUUAGCCUGGGCAUGUCUUUGGACUGUGGGAAGAAGCUGGAGAAGCCGGUGAGACCCCAUGCUGCACAAGGAGAACGUGCAAACUCCACCAAAAAGAUUUUAGGGAUUGUCUAGCUGUGAGGUGACAGUGCUAUCCACUGCAGCACCGUGCCGCCCACCACCAGCGAUAUUUUUCUGACUGUCAACAAAUCCCAUGAAAAUAUCAGUACCAACAAUGACUGAAGCCAGCAAGUUGGUGCUGUGUGUGAAUCGAAAGCCUGAUAUAUUUCGUUCCUCUCAGCCAUAGAGUUCCGUUGUGGUUGAAAAGCUAUUAGCAGACAGUGCGCUACAGUAUGUUUCUCAUGAGCACACACUGCAGUUUAUUUUAAAUUAGUCUUACUAACUAAAACACCAAAUGAAAACUAGCACACCAGAGCAAAACCACAAUGCUCACUACUUUUUUUUUAAUGAAACAAUAUAUGUUUGUAAAGGUUUUUGUUAUAUUUACAGUAAUUUUCUUGAUUUAGAAUCUACAUGGCAUACUUAAAGCAAAGGAAAAAUGGUUCAAUGUAAAUCCACAUCAAUAUUUACAGUACUUCUGUCAUAUUAUUCUGUAUGCAACAUGUUAUGCAACAUAUUAUGAAAUCAUCUGAUGUUCUAUUCUUUCUUAUUAAAGCUUGGCUCAGC